UAAGGGAUAUUGCGACAAUGGACGAAAGUCUGACGCAGCAACGCCGCGUGCGGGAUGACGGCCUUCGGGUUGUAAACCGCUUUUCGGGGGGAAGAGGAAGGACGGUACUCCCGGAAUAAGUCUCGGCUAACUACGUGCCAGCAGCCGCGGUAAAACGUAGGAGGCGAGCGUUAUCCGGAUUUACUGGGUGUAAAGCGCGUGCAGGCGGUUUAGCAAGUCGUGCGUGAAAGCGCCCGGCUCAACCGGGCGAGGUCGUGCGAAACUGCUUAACUUGAGGUAGGUAGAGGCGUGUGGAAUUCCGGGUGUAGUGGUGAAAUGCGUAGAGAUCCGGAGGAACACCAGUGGCGAAGGCGACACGCUGGGCCUGACCUGACGCUCAGACGCGAAAGCAUGGGUAGCGAACGG
rnacentral:rRNA from 1 species